UCAUAGCCUCUAGUAACAAAUGAAAGCUCAUAUCUUUUAGUAUCUAGUAACACAAGAACACACAUAUUAUUUGUAGUAACACACAAGAACACAUAAUUUAUUGCCUGAAGUAAAACACAAGAAUACAUCCACACAUAAUUUAUCGUCUGAAGUAAUGGAAAAGAACACAUACACACAUAAUGUAUUGCCUGAAGUAACACAAAAACACAUA